GUCCAGUUCCCAGUAAUAUCAGUUACUUUGUUCACUCUGGAUGGAACAGACUCAAUUAAAAUUUCAAACAUAUCUGGUUGUUUUUGCAUUUUCUCCCAAAUUUGUUUUGCUUGAAUUAAAACAUUAUAUGAAAAAAGAGGACCUUCCCAAUCCCAUUCCUUAUACUAUUUUUCUGCAUUCAUUUUCAAUUAUAUUUAAGUCUGAGUUUUGGCCAGCCAAGGUAAGCAAUUUAUUUUGGGAUGUUCUAAAACCAUUGCUUUACAAUUCUGCAGGUAUGAAUGGGACAGUUGUCUUGAACAAAUGAAAAAGAAUGUCCUGGAGAAUAAACAGCUGACACAGUUGGCCAGAGAAUCGAUUCUAAUAUAAUUGUAUAUUGGAAUGAAGUGAACCAUGUGCAGAUAUCCAACCCCAUAUAUUUACAUUUUUAUAGUAUGAUUUUCAUAUAUGAGCUAUAUUUCCAGGUGAAUAAUGAGUUCUUGCUUGUCUAUAACAA
rnacentral:lncRNA from 1 species